AAGAUGGUGAUGGCACUUUUGUAAUGACACCUGGAACCGCUGCCAUGUCUCAUAUAAAGAUUCUUUGUCAAGUUGCUGAAAUGAAGUGAUUUCAUUUCGGAUCUU
rnacentral:snoRNA from 1 species